UUGAGUUUGGUGAGUUUGUUAAGAAGGUUGUGCCAAAGUUUCAGCAUUUUAUUUCAUGGCAUAUGAUCAUGGUGAAUUAAUUAAGGCCAGAGUGCAGUGCUGGCAGAUUGGCUGCAGGGUUUAAAACGAAAGUUGGAAGGGGAGUAGGACAGAGCACUUGCAGGCGCGGAGGUGCCGGGCUCGGCUUGAUCAUUUAGAAUUGGCAGAUGUGGAGAGCCUGUCUGAAUGGAAUAACACGCGCGUGAAUCGGAUCCUUGUGGACUACAUAUUGCGGAUGUCUUAUUAUGACACCGCAGUGAAGCUGGCGGAAAGUAGAAAUAUUCAGGAUCUUGUUGAUAUUGAUGUAUUCCAAGAACCGAAAUAGGUUAUUGAAGCCCUUCAGAAUAAGGACGUGGGUCCAGCCCUAGCCUGGUGCGCCGAGAACAAGUCAAGGUUAAAGAAAUCCAAGGUAUGUACUCCCUUUUGUUUUGGGGGAGGGGAGGGAAGCUUGCUUUUAAUUGGUGGGUUAGACGAGUUUGCUAAUACUAUUAUUCUGUCAUUAAAAUGAUCUGUUCUGUUGCUUGUAUUUGGAAGAAAGUUGCGAAGGGUUUAGGUACCCUUCAUUUAUCUGAAUCUUGACCCAUUAUGAUUGGGUUUUGAAGAGAAAAUUAGGUACAAGGUUUGGAGGAAGGAGAGAAUUAGGCACAAUGUUUGGUGUUGGCGGCCUUGUUACUGGUGAAAGAGAUAAAAGGAAAGUUCUUUUCUUUAGUUUUUAAAAUUUUUUAUUUUUAAAAUUUUCAUAUAGUAUUUUAUUAAUCAUGGGUCCAUUUGCCUACCACACCAGUAUUCUGGCGAAAAACUUAACAAUGUUACCACGGAAGGACCAAUGCUACACCUUUUGUCAAAUUGAAGGACCAAAUUAAUAGAUUUUUAGUUGAGUAAUUAUAGCUACAAUUCAGUCAUAGUUAAGGGAUCAUAGUUACAAUUUGCUCUUAUAAUGUGGAGGGGAAAAUAGGUUAGUGGAGUGGGUCUAGAAGUUCUCUUUUUAAUUUGUCGUAUAAACUAAAAUUUUAAGCGAUUUGUCAUAUCAAAUUUCAAAAACCAUUUAUUUGCCAUCUCACCCUAACUCCAUUAAGUUUUUUUUUAUCCAAAAUAAGCCAUGUGCAAGGCACAUCACAUGACUUAUUUUCAAGUUUCUCUUCAAGGAGGAAGAUGAUGGCGAAUCUAGUCGGUGAAAAACGACAUUGCAAUUGGUGGGGCGACGACACUGCCAAGGUGGGUGGGUGUUGGUCUCCGCCACCAAGGUUGCGUCAUGGGUGGCGGUGGCUAUUUGGUCGAAGGGGAUGGGAAGGACGAUGUAUUUCUCAAUUUU